GUGCUCACUUUGGCAGCACAUACACUAAAAUUGGAACCAUACAGAGAAGAUUAAGAUAGCCCUAUGCAAGGAUAACAUGCAAAUUCAUGAAGCAUUCCAUAUUUUU